CAGAUAAGAAAACUGAGGAAGAACAAUUAAGAAACUUGGUCAAGAUCACUCAGUAAAUAAGUGCAAAGGAAACUCCAGUAUGAUUAUGAAAGCCCUCAAGUGAGACCAGCUCAGGUAAAGAGGAUUAUGCUCAACAAGCAAGAACAAACCUUCACCUUUCUACAAUCCUUAGUACAGCAUUAUACAGUCUAUUGCCUGCCA